rnacentral:lncRNA from 1 species
GAGCUUUUGACUUUGCCAUUUGAUAAUGGACUUUCCGUUUUAAAUUUUUCCUUGGAGUAUUUUGUUUUCUUUAACUUUGUUUUCACGAAGGACAUACACCAUAUGUUCAAAGAGUAGGCACGGUACUACAAUCAACAGGCCUCCUGAUAAUAAUUCGUUAAAAAAACAACCUACAAUACUUUGGAUCACACAAGCACAGAAGAAAAAACACAUGCUCGUAAUUGCUGGACAAUACUACCCCC